AUGAACGCUGGCGGCGUGCCUAAUACAUGCAAGUCGAGCGAACGGACGAGAAGCUUGCUUCUCUGAUGUUAGCGGCGGACGGGUGAGUAACACGUGGAUAACCUACCUAUAAGACUGGGAUAACUUCGGGAAACCGGAUCUAAUACCGGAUGAUAUUUUGAACCGCAUGGUUCAAAAGUGAAAGACAGUCUUGCUGUCACUUAUAGAUGGAUCCGCGCUGCAUUAGCUAGUUGGUAAGGUAACGGCUUACCAAGGCAACGAUGCAUAGCCGACCUGAGAGGGUGAUCGGCCACACUGGAACUGAGGCACGGUCCAGACUCCUACGGGAGGCAGCAGUAGGGAAUCUUCCGCAAUGGGCGAAAGCCUGACGGAGCAACGCCGCGUGAGUGAUGAAGGUCUUCGGAUCGUAAAACUCUGUUAUUAGGGAAGAACAUAUGUGUAAGUAACUGUGCACAUCUUGACGGUACCUAAUCAGAAAGCCACGGCUAACUACGUG
rnacentral:rRNA from 1 species